rnacentral:rRNA from 1 species
UACGUAGGGGCCUAGCGUUGUCCGGAUUUAUUGGGCGUAAAGAGCGUGUAGGCGGCCAGGUAGGUCCGUUGUGAAAACUCGAGGCUUAACCUCGAGACGUCGAUGGAAACCAUCUGGCUAGAGUCCGGAAGAGGAGAGUGGAAUUCCUGGUGUAGCGGUGAAAUGCGCAGAUAUCAGGAAGAACACCCGUGGCGAAGGCGGCUCUCUGGGACGUGACUGACGCUGAGACGCGAAAGCGUGGGGAGCAAACAGG